UGUGAAGGCCAUAGAUAAAUAUGCGAAUGAGAACAGUUCUAACAAGCUACAUUAUAGUAUCCAUUUCCAGAGGAAUUUCCCAGGAGCCGUAGCUGGAGGAGAAGUUGGCAGAUGUGGACAUGAGGAAAGUGAACAUCCUUCUGAGCAGACACGAACAGUCCUCGGCUUUCUGCUUCCCGCAUAACUGGCUUUUGCAGAGGAAUCAUCCAGGAGCCCUCGCCGGACGAGAUUAUGCAGAAGUGGACGUGAGCAGCCUGGACAUCCUUCUAAGGAGACCUCAACAGUCCUCAGGUUUCUGCCUUCUGCCUAACUGGCUUAGCAAGAGAAAAGAAGUCACAGGUCAGAGUCUACUGCCCUCGUGCAAUGGAAAGAGAGCAAGAGCGAUGAGUCUGCAAGCGUUGUUGAUGCGACGCAGAAGGCGUCCAUCUGGGAGCGGAACCGCCACCACUCUCAAUGAGAUAAGUGUCUUCUUUGGUGAUCGCUCUGCUCAAAGCCCAUCUUGCUCCUGGUAGGGACGCCCCGUUAGCUGGGGCUGGGUUUGUAAGAAAAGGUUCCUGACUAGUUGUGGUUACAAGGGAGACGAUGUCCCCAUUUUCAGGGGCUGCUCAUGUCUCUGGCCAGGACCAGUGUGUCCUCUGCAGCAUAUUAGAUCCAGGGGGAUGACUCCAGCUGAGGAAUUGUCCUGGAGCAGCAGCCGGAGGAGAAAUUGGCAGACGUGGGCCUGUGAGGAGCCUGGACAUUCUUCUAAGGAGACAUGAACAGUCCUCAGCUUUCUGCCUCGUGCAUAACUGGCUGUGGAUAAGUGUACCAAGGGAAAAGAAGUGACAAGUCAGAGUCUACUGCCCUCAUGCGAUGGAAAGCGAGCGAGAGUGAUGGGACUGCGAGAAUUAUUGAUGCCUUGAAAAAGCCGUCCAACG